rnacentral:rRNA from 1 species
AUUGAACGCUGGCGGCAUGCCUUACACAUGCAAGUCGAACGGUAACAGGUUAAGCUGACGAGUGGCGAACGGGUGAGUAACACAUCGGAACGUGCCCAGUCGUGGGGGAUAACGUAGCGAAAGCUACGCUAAUACCGCAUACGAUCUGCGGAUGAAAGCGGGGGAUCGCAAGACCUCGCGCGAAUGGAGCGGCCGAUGGCAGAUUAGGUAGUUGGGGAGGUAAAGGCUCACCAAGCCUGCGAUCUGUAGCUGGUCUGAGAGGACGACCAGCCACACUGGGACUGAGACACGGCCCAGACUCCGACGGGAGGCAGCAGUGGGGAAUUUUGGACACUGGGCGCAAGCCUGAUCCAGCAAUGCCGCGUGCAGGAUGAAGGCCUUCGGGUUGUAAACUGCUUUUGUACGGAACGAAACGGUGAGCUCUAAUACAGUUUGCUAAUGACGGUACCGUAAGAAUAAGCACCGGCUAACUACGUGCCAGCAGCCGCGGUAA